AAAAAUUCCUUCUUGACCCCAAAAUAGCUGUCAGAUGUCUCCUGGAUCCAGCAACUAUUACCCCACUAAUUAGAAAUGAUAUCCCUUUAUGUUAUGUUUUUUGCAAGUAUUUAUCCAAUUUCAGUUUAAACAUCUGUAUGGACUCUGAUAAAACCACCUUUUCAGGCAGAGAAUUCCACAUCCUUAUUGCUCUUACUGUAAAAAAAAAACUUUUCUUUGCCUUAGAUUAAAUCUCCUUUCUUCCAGCUUAAAUGUGUGACCUUGUGUCCUAUGUAUAGCCCUGUUUAUGAAUAGAUUUCCAGAUAAUGGUUUGUACUGGCCCCGAAUAUAUAUGUAUAAUGUUAUCAUAUCCCCUCUCAGGCGCCGUUUUUCCAAACUAAAGAGAUUUGUAUAUGUAUGUAAUUGUAUUCAUGCUAUAACUAAGGACAUUAGCAUUGACAAAGGAACACAGCCCGAAACGUUUGAAACCUGUAUGUUGUUCUUCAAAUAAAUGUGGUAGCACCUGGGUGUGCACUUUAAAUACCAGUUGCGCAUUACUCCAAUUUUUUCUUGUUUUGACAUUGAAUGUCAGUGUUGGAAGCACCUCUAGCAGCCAUCUGAGGAGUGGCCAGGGGAGGUAUACCUAGGCUGUAACAUAAACAUUGCAUUUUCUCUGAAAAUAUGUUGUUUACUGCAAAAAGCCUGAAGGGACUGACUAUACU